GGCCUACCAUGGUGGUAACGGGUAACGGGGUGUUAGGGCACGACACCGGAGAGGGAGCCUGAGAAACGGCUACCACAUCCAAGGAUGGCAGCAGGCGCGCAAAUUACCCAAUCCCGACACGGGGAGGUAGUGACAAUAAAUAACAAUACGGGGUUCUUUUGGAUCUCGUAAUUGGAAUGAGUACAAUUUAAAUCUCUUAACGAGGAACAAUUGGAGGGCAAGUCUGGUGCCAGCAGCCGCGGUAAUUCCAGCUCCAAUAGCGUAUAUUAAAGUUGUUGCAGUUAAAAAGCUCGUAGUUGAAUUUCGAGACCGGUUUAUUGGUCGUGCUUUUGUACGUACUGGUAUUAUUGGUUUCUCCUUUCUGACGAAUCUUAAUGCCAUUAAUUUGGUGUUUUGGGGAAUCAGGACUGUUACUUUGAAAAAAUUAGAGUGUUUAAAGCAGGCUCACGCUUGAAUACAUUAGCAUGGAAUAACGGAAUAGGACGUUUGAUUCUAUUUUGUUGGUUUCUAGGAUCGACGUAAUGAUUAAUAGGGAUAGUUGGGGGCAUUAGUAUUCAAUUGUCAGAGGUGAAAUUCUUGGAUUUAUUGAAGACUAACUACUGCGAAAGCAUUUGCCAAGGAUGUUUUCAUUAAUCAAGAACGAAAGUUAGGGGAUCGAAGACGAUCAGAUACCGUCGUAGUCUUAACCAUAAACUAUGCCGACUAGGGAUCGGAUGAUGUUAAUUUUUUAAUGACUCAUUCGGCGCCUUACG
rnacentral:rRNA from 1 species